rnacentral:rRNA from 1 species
CAGCCGCCGCGGGAAUACAGAGGGUGCGAGCGUUAAUCGGAUUUACUGGGCGUAAAGCGUGCGUAGGCGGCUAAUUAAGUCGGAUGUGAAAUCCCCGAGCUUAACUUGGGAAUUGCAUUCGAUACUGGUUAGCUAGAGUGUGGGAGAGGAUGGUAGAAUUCCAGGUGUAGCGGUGAAAUGCGUAGAGAUCUGGAGGAAUACCGAUGGCGAAGGCAGCCAUCUGGCCUAAUACUGACGCUGAGGUACGAAAGCAUGGGGAGCAAACAGGAUUAGAUACCCCAGUAGUCCCUGUCUCUUAUAC